rnacentral:rRNA from 1 species
UACAGAGGUCUCGAGCGUUAGGCGGAAUCACUGGCUUAAAGCGUGUGUAGGCGGACGGGUAAGUACCUUGUGAAAUCCCACGGCUCAACCGUGGAACUGCUGGGUAUACUGCCUGUCUUGAGUCAUCUAGGGGCGAGCGGAACAAAUGGUGGAGCGGUGAAAUGCGUAGAUAUCAUUUGGAACGCCAAUGGUGAAAACAGCUCGCUGGGGAU